rnacentral:rRNA from 1 species
ACAGCGGAGAGUUUGAUCCUGGCUCAGGAUGAACGCUAGCGGCAGGCUUAACACAUGCAAGUCGA